GUUCCUGGAGCGGAUUUCUGACACUCGUGGGGACACAGCGGAGAGGCUGGUGCUGUGAAAACCACCCCCAAACCCCUCCACUGUCACCCUCUCAUGGCGUGUAGGGAGCCCCGCUGUCUGAGCAGCCUGUGGAGCACUCUUCCUCUUUUCCAGCACCCUACAGACCCCGAUACCCCUCCUUACGCCCUGCAGGGAUCCCCAAUCCCCUCACAUCCUCCCCAGUCCACUCACAUCCUCCCCAAUCCCCUCACAGCCUGCAGGGAUCCCAAAUCCCCUCACAUCCUUCAGGGAUCCCAAAUCCCCCUCACAGCCUGCAGGGAUCCCAAAUCCCCCUCACAGCCUGCAGGGAUCCCAAAUCCCCUCACAUCCUUCAGGGAUCCCAAAUCCCCCUCACAGCCUGCAGGGAUCCCAAAUCCCCUCACAUCCUUCAGGGAUCCCAAAUCCCCCUCACAGCCUGCAGGGAUCCCAAAUCCCCUCACAUCCUUCAGGGAUCCCAAAUCCCCCUCACAGCCUGCAGGGAUCCCAAAUCCCCUCACAUCCUUCAGGGAUCCCAAAUCCCCCUCACAGCCUGCAGGGAUCCCAAAUCCCCUCACAUCCUUCAGGGAUCCCAAAUCCCCCUCACAGCCUGCAGGGAUCCCAAAUCCCCUCACACCCUACAGGGAUCCCCAGUCCCCUCACAGCCUGCAGGGAUCCCAAAUCCCCUCACACCCUACAGGGAUCCAAUCUCCUCACACCCUGCAGGGAUCCCCAAUCCCCUCACAGCCUGCAGGGAUCCCAAAUCCCCUCACACCCUCCCCGGAUCCCCAGUUCCCUCACACCCUCCCCAAUCUCCUCACAGCCUGCAGGGAUCCCCAAUCCCCUCACACCCUGCAGGGAUCCCAAAUCCCCCUCACAGCCUGCAGGGAUCCCAAAUCCCCUCACACCCUCCCCGGGGGGGGGGGGGGGGGGGGGGGGGGGGGGGGGGGGGGGGGGGGGGGGGGGGGGGGGGGGGGGGGGGGGGGGGGGGGGGGG
rnacentral:lncRNA from 1 species